AAUACUACAGAGUUCAUCAUAUUUACAUAUCCCAAAAUCUUAAGAAAAACUCAGUCAAAUUACUCCAAGAAAACUGCUGGAGCUGAGAAGCAUAUUGCGGACGGUAGAAUUGCAUAAUUCUGAAACUUCCUCCUUGGAGGAGUCGUUUAAAGACUCGAGCAAUCCGCCCAUCUCGCUGAUCGGCAAGAUUCUCUGGGUGGCGGUAAUUGUUUCGUAAUUGGCGCUGUUUGCAGUUGUUUCAGCGAGUUCUUUGUUAUCUGAGGCAUUUCAUCGAGCACUUUGUGUUUUACAACAAGCUGUCGCCAUGGAUGUGGAUUCAAAGCCUACCAUGGAGGAAACUAUAUUGGUGGGUGAUGAUCUGAUGAUGGGGCCACCCUCACCACUCAUUCCACCUGAAAUAGCGUCUCAUGUGCUUGAAGGUGUUGAUACAUGUGAUGGGAUUUUGCGGAAUCUAUUUCUAUGUCUGCAAAUCAAUGAUAUUGAGCCAUUCUGUCAAGACGAGAUAGCAAUAUAUCGGCAAUGUGCAGAGAAGAGGGACAAGGAACUUAGACAGCGGCUUCAAGAUAGUGAGCGGAAAUUAGGGAUGUCUAUGCCUUUAGAGCAAGCGAAAGAAAGAUGUAGCCAGUUGGAAUCAGAAGCAACAUCAUUGGAGAGACACUUGAUUUUGGCGAGUGGAGUGGAAGGCAUGGAAGGAUUUCGACAAAGGUGGAGUCUGCAUGGGCGCCUUACUGAUACAAAGUAAUGCCUUGGUGAUCCUGAUAUUUUCACGAGUCAAACAUGUUGGCAUUAAGAUGCUACCACCUAAGCACAUACCUCUAGGUUUUUUGACAGAAGCGCCUGGACGCCCUGAAGCAAGGAAUGGAGAACAGGAAGAAAGAUGAAUCAGUUGGUGAAUCAACCACCAAGAAGAGAUGGUUCUUCUGGUGAAGAUGGUUUUUCGAGGCUAUAAGGUGUCCGUUCUACCCAUCUUCAGAGAGCAGUGACAUGUUGGAUACAUAUGAGGCUGCUUGAGCUAAUUCUUCAUUUCUUGGGCUAACCUAGUCUUUACCUCCACACUUUGGGAAUUGAAUUUCAGUUCAUUAACUGAUAUAAUGUCUAUGUAUCGUCAUAUUAGCAAAUGAAUGUUCAUUCUCCGGGUAUCACAUGCAGUCAACCAAUCAUUGUGUUUAAAGGCCCAAAAAAAAAAAAGAAGAAGAAACCGACACCUUGAUGUGAUAUACAUAAAUUAAGUUAUUGAUUUCAUUCUCCG